rnacentral:rRNA from 1 species
CCUACGGGAGGCAGCAGUGGGGAAUAUUGGACAAUGGGGGCAACCCUGAUCCAGCCAUGCCGCGUGUGUGAAGAAGGCCCUCGGGUUGUAAAGCACUUUCAGUGAGGAAGAACGCCUGGUGGUUAAUACCCAUCAGGAAAGACAUCACUCACAGAAGAAGCACCGGCUAACUCCGUGCCAGCAGCCGCGGUAAUACGGAGGGUGCGAGCGUUAAUCGGAAUUACUGGGCGUAAAGCGCGCGUAGGUGGCUUGAUAAGCCGGUUGUGAAAGCCCCGGGCUCAACCUGGGAACGGCAUCCGGAACUGUCAAGCUAGAGUGCAGGAGAGGAAGGUGGAAUUCCCGGUGUAGCGGUGAAAUGCGUAGAGAUCGGGAGGAAUACCAGUGGCGAAGGCGGCCUUCUGGACUGACACUGACACUGAGGUGCGAAAGCGUGGGUAGCAAACAGGAUUAGAUACCCUAGUAGUC